GAAGGAUUCACCUUCCUUCGCGCGAAUCCACCGUUGGAUCGUGCUACGGUUGCCUAUAAAUAGGCAGUCCGGGAUCCACCAAUGCGUUUGGAAUGCUUUGAUAUCUGUGCAGGGUACAACGAUCAAUGUCGAGAAAGAAUAUCGAUCAUUCUUUCUCCUGUCAAUCCCGUCGCUCCCCUUCCCCGUGGUUUCUUUCCCCUUCGAUCAGAACCCUCGAAACCCUAACGCGGGAACGAUUCUUGGAUCAAAAAUGUUCGCGUAUUCAAGAUCUGAGAGGCAGCGGCAGAGGCUGCGUGUGUACGAGUAUCGACCACCCAGAUACCACGGGUUCUUUCUUAGGGCUUUUCUGUUUCUUUUCGUGUUCAAUUCUUCCGCUACCCUCUUCAAGAACCGAUUUUUUCUUGAAGUUCUGUUGAAAUCUUUCUUGCGAUGGAGUUUGGGCAGUUUGAUUUCUUGUCGUGUUCAAUGCUUCCGGUACUCUCUUCAAGAAUUAGGUUCUUGAAGUUUCUUGAAAUCUUUGUUGCAAAACUGAGCAGGAUGUUUCAAUUUCUUUUGUGCUUAGUGCUUUGGUGCAUAGGCUUAUGUAAUGCUAGCCAGUUAUAAUUUUUUUCCUUUUUUGUCUUUUUGCAUGUUCUUCAAGAUUCCUUGUACUUGGUGGUUGAGGUGCAGGCCAUGCUCUAGAAAGAAGUUUGGUAUCAGCUGUGGGGUGGGAGAAAUAUGAAAUACUUAAUAUUGAGGCAAUGCGAGUAUUAUACAAGAUGGAAAAAUUGUUCCAGAUGGCUGCUAUUGAUGUAUAUCGCAGAUGGAAUUGGGAUAUAGAGUGUUUACUCUCAGAAAUUAUUUAUGUCUUUCUUUAUUUCUUCUUUAUUUCAGUUAAUUUAGUUUUUCUUGGCAUUCCUCGGCAUGCUAUUGGUAUUAACUAUUCACAUACCUUAGUAAGAUGGUACUUUCUCAGGGUUCGUGUUUUCUAGAGGAUUCCUACCUGCAACUAUGUAAACAGCUUCAAAUCCUUUUUUAUUUUAUUCAUUCAUUUGUUCAUUCAUUCAUUUAUCUUUUGCAUUUGAGUGUAACGUCAAGCAGUAUCUCGAAUAGCAGUUAUCAUGUUGGGAAUAUUACUGAUUCAGUGCAACUUCUAUUUCUUACUUCCAUGAAAGAAAAAAAAUGAAGUUUUUUGAGUUAUAUCUGUAGGAUGUUUUCAGAUUAGGAAAAUAUAACUUGAGACUAACCCUGAUGGACUUCAUAUGCACUUCUUUUGCCUCGGUAUCUUGAAGAGGCAGGUUGGGCUGAAGGUGGUCGGGUUUAUAGCUUUCACCCAACCAAUGUGAUUAUUGCUAUCAUGUUUCCGACUGGCUAUCUAUUUGUGUACUUCAAACUAUUUGUUUCCAGACCUCUGCUUUCUGACUUCUAGUGCCUGAAGAAAGAAUGUCUUGGCUGCUGGCCUUUGGGAGUGGUAUAUUGCUGAAAUCAUUCCAUUGUCUUGAAAACUGCAUGCCAUUAUAGUUUUUCAGUUCUUCAAUCUUGUAGCUGUAUGUUCAUUGGGCUGUUUGGUCUUGAUAUUUUGUUAUUGAGAGCUCACUGGCAUUUUUCUUUGUUGGACUUGGUGCUUGUGCGCUAUCAUAUCCUUUGCACUAAGUUUUACCUGCUGUGCUGUUUCUUGUGUUAUUUGACAGAUUGAUGGUCUUGAUUGUACAAAAACAAAUUCUUCAAGUUCUUGAGAGCUCGGAAAAUUUGUAAACAUCCUUUUGCAACACAAGACCUUCAAAACACUUAAUAAAGGAAACAGUUUAGGGAACUUUUGCAUGUUAUUUGCCUUUUUGACCAUCAAACACUUAGUAGUUACAAUUAACACUGAUACUCUUGUUUCAAGACAUUAACAGGUAAUUUGUUAUAGUAUACUUUGAUUUGCUGUAUCCCAGGGCAGUUAUUUUUAUACCAUAUUUACAGUAUGUUUCCUCACUAGUAGCCGGAGAUAUGGGAAUCAAACUUGGGAAGGGGUUGGAUAUGCUAUUUAUUCUAACAUCAAACAAAUCCUGUAUGACCUCUUCCAUUUUUUGGCCAUUGGCAUUCUCUUUGGUUAAAUAUUGCUUUAAAUUCUGCAGCUCUAGGCUUGUGCUAUUAGACCCCUUCAAAUGGACACAAGGUUAUUAGCUUUCUACUUUACUUGGGGUAUGGUUGAAUGAGGAGUUUUCUCCUAGAUUUGGUGGUAUUUGCUUUUUUCUCUCCAUGUGUAUUGUCGCAGAGUGUGACCAAGAUCAAAUUUCUAACUGAUGGGUUGUUGCUUAGAGAAAUGAUGGAUGAUCCUCUUUUAAUCAAGUAAGGUGGUGGUUACAAUUCAAAUGUAGAUGCUUUCCUUUCUCAUAUGCAUUUAGUUGGUGAAAUAAAAAAAUGCAUUAUUUUGAUUCUUUCUUAAUUCUCUAUUAAUUUUGUAUAAAAUUAUAAAAUUCAUGAUCGAACAAGACUUAAACUAACUGCAUGGUAGUGGCUAGGGGUGCAAAUGAGCCGAGCAGCUUGCAAGCUGCUCGAGCUCGACUUGGGUCCGAGCUUAAGUCGACUCAAUUGCUACCGAGCUCGAGUAGCUCGAAUAAUUUUUUGAGUCGAACUCAAGUAGCAAAAUGCUUGGCUUGAAGGCUCGUUGUCCUAGUCGAGUAUCUAUAUUUUUAAUAAUAUUAUAUUUUAUUUAUAAUAUAUAUUAUUAAUUUAAUAUUUUAAAAUAUAAUAUAAUAUUUAUUUUGUUUUAAUUAUAUUUUUAAAUUAUGACCAAGGCUUGAAUUUGAGAUCAAAAUCAAGCUCGAGUAUGGCUCAGUUGAUAUUCGAGUCAAGUCCAGUCGACCUUGAGUAUUAUUUUUUUUUUUUUUAUCGAGUUGACCUUGAGCCUCCAGCUACUCAACUCGACCCAGCUCGAUUGCACCCCUAGUGGUGGCUCUAUGAGUUUUUCUUCACCAUACAUUCUUAAAGGGGAUGCAUACACUAUCAUCACCAGUCUUUCUAUCCUUUAAUGGUGAAAGUUGAGACAUCUCAUUUUACCAUGAUGCCAUCAUGCAUUCAUCACUCAUGUGGAUGCAUUCUUACUCAGUUUACCUCCUGAUUGUCUGUUGCAAGUUGCCUUUACAAUUGCACCAUGUCUCACACCUGACGUCAGCAUGCCACUACAUAUUGUACUCACCAUUUUACAAUCUUUGUUGCUCAUCUUCUGUGCUUUUCUCUUUUUUGUAGCCUAAUAUUCUGAUUCAUACAACAGUUUGCCUCUUUUUAUUGCGCAGAAAGUUUUUUGCACCAAUGUUAAAGGCAUGCAUUGGUGAUAUAACACUGGGAAUCAUGAAUGCUGCUCUUUUCUUUUCUAGAUGGGCUAAAUAAUUGUGUAAUUUCUCAUUCUAGCAAUGCCAUGAUAUGAUCAUCAUGUCUCUAGAUGAUCUAAGUAAUUGUAGAAAUUUAUCAUGCUAAUAAUACCAUGAUAUGAUCAUCAUGUUUCUCUGUCAAAGUUUUGUAGUUUUUUCUGUUACCAGUAUCUCUUUAUUUGACCUUUCCAAGCAUAUGAACUUCUCUUCUGUUUGGCAUCAGAAACUACUCCUUCCUUUUUUGUGGUUUUGGAGGGUUUUGAGCAAUUUGUUCAUUAAUCCUCUAUCUCUUUAUCUUCUCUUAUAUUAGUGCCAUAAGGGUAGAUGAGGUCCACGAAAGAUCUCAUUCAACAGACAUGUUACCAGAUUCAAUUCCUUAGACCUGAGUUGCUCGUAAUCAUUUCAUCUGCAACAAUUGAGGCAAAUUCUGUGUCAACCUCUUUCAGUAUUGGGUCCUCUCCUGAUCUAAAUAUACCAGAUUCAUUGCCAUAAAUCUGGGUUGUUUAUAAUUGUUUCAUCUGCAGCAAUUCCGUGUUAUGUCUUCUCCUGAUCUAGUUAGGGCAUGGAUGAGGACGCAUGUGAAAUUGCUUUGAAAUCCCAACAUCCUACCCUAUGUGGCAACAUAAUCUAUGACCCACCUCAUUGCUUCCAUUUUCGUACUGAUGAUAUUGUGGUUCUCACCUCACCGCCCUAUUACAGACAUCCCAUCCAUCUCUAAGAUCCAUAGGGAUUUUGAAUGAUGGACGGGCUUCGACAUCCUCUCAACCUUUUAGACUUUGCAAUGAUUCUGCUCAUGAAAUGGGAUUUUCUAAAGUUACUCCAUAGGGUGUAUGCCUUUUCUUUUAUUGGUGCAAUAUUGCACCCACUACCCUUGGGACUGUGUUUUUUUAUUUUUUAUGUUGUAGGUGCAACAUGACAUGUCACUAAGUUCGUAGCUUUAGAAAGUCAAUUUGAUUUGAAAAUCGGAGGUCAUGGCUUUAUUGAUUUCCCAUCAAACGUCAGAGCAGUGUUUUUUUUUUUUUUUGGUACAUAUUAAUCUUGCAUAAGCACGGCUACCUGAAUGAAUGAAAAAAAAGCCGAGGAACAGAAUCAUACUGAGUUGAGGCGACCCAAUCAGCAGCUUUG